GGAGUGGAAGAUGAAGAAUUUGGGGGGGACGGGGCAGGCUCCAGGAGCUGGAAAAGGGCGAGGGGACAGACCCUCCCCCAAGGCCUCCCGAGAGGAGCGCGGAUUGCAGACAGCUGGGUUCCAGCCCGAUGAGACCCAGGUAGGACUUCUGAGCUGCGUACUCUAAGCCACUAAGUGGGUGGCAAUUGUCGGAGCAGCAGUAAAAUCCUAGAGCAGACUCGGUGCCGUGACAAAGCGGCUGCUGUGACAAAGCUGGUGGGGCUCUGGAUCCGGGUAGCGGCAGAGGCUGGAAGAAGUCAAGACGGCAGAGCCCGCAUUGCCUGGCACAGACCCGCAGGGACACGGCUACUGCCAGCCCCGCUGGGGAGGCCUCGGAGAGGCAGGGAGGGUAGAGAACACCCGUGUCAUCUGUGGAGGCCACGCGAGCCAGCAGGAGGAAACGUGGACGGUAAGCGUGCCCGCGGAAGCAGCGGCCCCAGGCCUGUAGCAGGGGCCAGGUUUACAUUUGCUGAAUGAUGGGCGACGUCUUUUCAGACUGCUCAGACGGGGCGGGAGACUGAUGAGGAAAUGAUGGAGAGGAGAGUGGUGGCGGGUUCUGUGGGGGCCCCUCUCGUCUCCGGGCAACUGCCCUCUGCUCCCAGGACUCACCCAACCUUCGCAGUGAAAGCCUCACCUCUGUCUGCCCGACUAGGCAAGCGUCGGAGUGAGGAAGGGCCAAGGCGAUGCAUGCAGGACGCCUGGACUGGGCCAAAGUCUGGACCCUUCUCAGCUUCGGCCGGUCUCCACUGCCCCGUCCCUAACCUGGAAGUGAUCUUUCCCUCUCCGAAGGCCCCUUGUGUCACUGAGUAAGAUGACCCAUUCACCGGCCUCGCGCAUCUCCCCUCCCCUCUCCAGCUGCAGGCCGCCAGGUGCUUCGCUGUCAGAAAGAACGAGAGUGAGAUUCUCCGAGCGCAACUCUCAGCCUUACCCUCGGGUGUCCUGAUACCCCGCACACCCCACACUUCCACCCCGCCCGCCUCCUGUGACCAAGGGCACCCUUCAGCCAGCCUCCAGCGGGUCCUUAUCCUCUGCCUUGGUUACAAAAAGUAACGUGAACAACUUUAACAAACGACAUCUGUGGAAUGGAGAGAAAGUUCAAGAACAAGGCAAGAGGAGAAGAAAGUAGCCUCCCCUUCAGGAUUCAACAAAGAUAAAGGAAAGGUACCUGGACUCUACCCAUAUGGGCAUCUCCUUCCAAGUUGCCCAAAACCCCACAGUGGCUGGGGUGCCAGGCACAGAGACGGCCCGUGUCACUGCUGAACGCCAGCCUCGGUCACCCUACGCCUGUGGACACAGGGCAGCAAUGUGGACACGCGGCCCGGCCACCCCCACUGCCCCGGGAGGCUGACCGGGCUCACGCUGAGUUCCAGGAACAAGAAAGCGGCAGCCAGGAAAUGAGUCGCCGCCCCCGGGAGCCCGACAGCAUGUCUGGGACAUGACAUCUGCUGUCUUACAAAAUCCCCCGGCGUUCAAGAUUCCGGCUGCAUCACGUCCUGGUCGCUGAAGAAAGUGGCCAGUCAAAAUCACUUUGCUACUUCAUACACCCUUGACGCCGGGAACGCCUGCUCGACACCAAAGGUCAGCUCCCACCCCAGAGACCCCACGCCACACGGUUAAGGUCAGCCUCUGACAGCAGCCGCUACAGGGCUUCUCGGUGUGAGACCGCAACACCAGUCCCACGCUAUCCUCUUGUACACCAACGAAGACCAGUCAGCUGAAGGAUCUGAGGGGCCAGUGGCACACCAGACAGACAAGUCACUUUCAUCUGAUCUGACUUCCAGAGUUUGUGUUUUGUCCCUACCAGCGCUUAGUGCUAGAAAGUCAGCCUAGGUGAACGACCUUGGAGCCUCCCUGAAGCCUGGAGCUGGAGAAGAGCAGGGACCGGGACACUCGUACCUGGGAGACUGUUCCCACGGCACAGUUGCAAAUCGAUUAGUCAGACAUUAACCGCCAGAAUACACAAGAAACAACAAGAAACAACUGCAGAUGAAGGGGCGCCUGGUGGCUCAGUCAUUUGAGCCUCCGACUUCUGCUCAGGUCACGGUCUCGCGGUUCAUGGGUUCGAGCCCUGCGUCGGGCUCUGUGCUGACAGCUCGGAGAGCUUGCCUCGGAUUCUGUGUCUCCCUCUCUCUCUGCUCCUCCCCUCUUCAUGCUCGCCCUCUCUCGCGCUCUCUCUC